CGCGUGAGAAUNUGGCUCUAGGUCUGGGACAACAGUUAGAAAUGACUGCUAAUACCGGAUGUGCCGCGAGGUGAAAGAUUUAUNUGCCUGGAGAUGAGCUCGCGUCUGAUUAGCUAGUUGGUGGGGUAAAGGCUUACCAAGGCGACGAUCAGUAGCUGGUCUGAGAGGAUGAUCAGCCACACUGGGACUGAGACACGGCCCAGACUCCUACGGGAGGCAGCAGUGGGGAAUUUUCCGCAAUGGGCGAAAGCCUGACGGAGCAAUACCGCGUGAGGGAGGANAGGCUCUUGGGUUGUAAACCUCUUUUCUCAAGGAAGAACACAAUGACGGUACUUGAGGAAUAAGCAUCGGCUAACUCCGUGCCAGCAGCCGCGGUAAUACGGAGGAUGCAAGCGUUAUCCGGAAUGAUUGGGCGUAAAGCGUCCGCAGGUGGUAUUGUAAGUCUGCUGUUAAAGCGUGAGGCUCAACCUCAUAAGGGCGGUGGAAACUACAAAACUAGAGUACGUUCGGGGCAGAGGGAAUUCCUGGUGUAGCGGUGAAAUGCGUAGAUAUCAGGAAGAACACCGGUGGCGAAAGCGCUCUGCUAGGCCGUAACUGACACUGAGGGACNAAAGCUAGGGGAGCNAAUGGGA
rnacentral:rRNA from 1 species